UGGGGGAUAUUGCACAAUGGGCGAAAGCCUGAUGCAGCGACGCCGCGUGGGGGAUGAAGGCUUUCGGGUUGUAAACCUCUUUCGCUAUCGAACAAGGCCCGCUUAGGGUGGGUUGAGGGUAGGUGGAGAAGAAGCGCCGGCUAACUACGUGCCAGCAGCCGCGGUAAUACGUAGGGCGCGAGCGUUGUCCGGAAUUAUUGGGCGUAAAGGGCUUGUAGGCGGCUUGUUGCGCCUGCUGUGAAAACGCGGGGCUUAACUUCGCGCGUGCAGUGGGUACGGGCAGGCUUGAGUGUGGUAGGGGUGACUGGAAUUCCAGGUGUAACGGUGGAAUGCGCAGAUAUCUGGAGGAACACCGAUGGCGAAGGCAGGUCACUGGGCCAUUACUGACGCUGAGGAGCGAAAGCAUGGGUAGCGAACAGG
rnacentral:rRNA from 1 species